GGGUUGUGAGGUUAAGCGACUAAGCGUACACGGUGGAUGCCCUGGCAGUCAGAGGCGAUGAAGGGCGUGCUAAUCUGCGAUAAGCGCCGGUAAGGUGAUAUGAACCGUUAUAACCGGCGAUACCCGAAUGGGGAAACCCAGUGUGACUCGUCACACUAUCAUUAACUGAAUCCAUAGGUUAAUGAGGCGAACCGGGGGAACUGAAACAUCUAAGUACCCCGAGGAAAAGAAAUCAACCGAGAUUCCCCCAGUAGCGGCGAGCGAACGGGGAGGAGCCCAGAGCCUGAAUCAGCAUGUGUGUUAGUGGAAGCGUCUGGAAAGGCGCGCGAUACAGGGUGACAGCCCCGUACACAAAAGCGCAUGUGCUGUGAGCUCGAUGAGUAGGGCGGGACACGUGGUAUCCUGUCUGAAUAUGGGGGGACCAUCCUCCAAGGCUAAAUACUCCUGACUGACCGAUAGUGAACCAGUACCGUGAGGGAAAGGCGAAAAGAACCCCGGCGAGGGGAGUGAAAAAGAACCUGAAACCGUGUACGUACAAGCAGUGGGAGCCCCACCACUAAGCCAGUGGUGAACUCCACAUACGCAUCCUUUGCUG
rnacentral:rRNA from 1 species